UCAGAAACUACAAAGGAAAGUUGACGGGGACCCGCACAAGCAGCGGAGCAUGUGGUUUAAUUCGAAGCAACGCGAAGAACCUUAACCAGAUCUUGACAUCCAAUUGACCAUCUUUUAAUCGAGAUUUUGGCCUUCGGGUACAAUUGAGACAGGUGGUGCAUGGUUGUCGUCAGCUCGUGUCGUGAGAUGUUGGGUUAAGUCCCGCAACGAGCGCAACCCUUGUGUUUAGUUGCAAACAGGUCAAGCUGUGCACUCUAGACAGACUGCCGUGGACAACACGGAGGAAGGUGGGGAUGACGUCAAAUCAUCAUGCCCCUUAUGAUCUGGGCUACACACGUGCUACAAUGGCCGGUACAACGGGCAGCGAAGGAGCGAUCCGGAGCGAAUCCUAAAAAGCCGGUCCCAGUUCGGAUUGCAGGCUGAAACUCGCCUACAUGAAGUUGGAGUUGCUAGUAAUCGCGAAUCAGAAUGUCGCGGUGAAUGCGUUCCCGGGUCUU
rnacentral:rRNA from 1 species